AUACAGUUCCUGUUUCCAAAUGAGGUUCGUCGUCAAAACUGAAUGAGCAAACAGUGGAGGAAAGGGCGAAUGCUGCACCAACUUUCAUCUUAUCAACGGAACAUGCACCGCAUGUCCUCCUGGAACUUACGGAGAUAACUGUUCCACCGCAUGUCCAAAUCAACAUUAAGGAGAAAACUGUGGUCUCAAAUGUAAUUGUAGACCUGAUGAAGAGUGUCACACUUUACACGGCUGUAGAAGUAUUACCACUACACCCAUUAGCCAAACAACAACUAAAUCAUACCUCGACAAGGAGAAAACUUCAUUAUCCACCACUGAAAUGUCAGAUCCUUCUUUACGGAGUUCAGUUCCAGCUAAUAUAGAAAAUAUAACAAAAGGCUGCAAUACCGUCAUCCAGCGGACCUCACGGAGAGGUGUGGACUUCCUAUACCACUAUUGUCUUCGACAGACCUCGGGACUUUGGUAUCUAAUUGGCAUCCAAAUUUUCCCCUCCAUACACGGUCAAAUUCUCAGACACGAGUUUUUUAAACAGCCUGAAGUCAUCACUUGUAUUUCCUUUCGGAUCUCCCGAAAGAUGGCAACAGUUCGAUGAUGACCAUCCACUGGUUCUGAGCAACUGUACACAGGACAGGUUUUGUUUGUACUUCUUCAGUGCACCCGAAACUGGCCUGUAAGUUGAUAUAUACCAGAUAUAUCAUUCUGAACAAUACCAUCAUGUUAAUCACGCUUACAAUUAGCUACUUCACGUCUUUACAGAAAUGGAACAUCUAUAACAAUAUUUGGAGAAACAGUGAAGUGGGUCCCAAUAUCCCCUGGUAGAGUGACUAACAUCAUACAUGCCGAAAUCAAUAUGCGGGUAUAGGAAUCAGAGGUAAACCGGGGGAGGAAGUUACCAUGGCUUUCUUAAUAAACAACUCCUUCGUUUUUCAACUUGCAAAAUUAGCACAUCAGGCACGGCCAUACUGGACGCCAUGUACGGAUGAUUUCCAAAUCAUUCGACUUCUAGUCAACCAACAUCUGUUGCACCGACGUCAUUCACGACCAAUUAUAGUAUGACAACAGAGAUGAUACAAUCAUCAACCUCUCACUCCUUGGCUUCUGGUGUUGUUCAUCAGAAAGGAGUACUAUUGUUCAGUGUUUGGCUGUCGACAACAGUGCUGAUGGUGAAAGCGAUGUAUUGAAAUAAUACAACCAAAAUCAUCUUCUUUUGUAUUUCACUGGAGUUUAUCAUAUUCUGUCGUCAUUUAGUAUUACAGCAACAAAAUGAUGUUAUUAAUCACAGUUAAGUAUUAAGGAGAAAUAAAUUUAUAAACUGUU
rnacentral:misc_RNA from 1 species